rnacentral:rRNA from 1 species
ACCGGAGGAAGGUGGGGAUGACGUCAAGUCCUCAUGGCCCUUAUGUCCAGGGCUACACACGUGCUACAAUGGCCGGUACAAAGGGGUGCCAUCCCGCGAGGUUGAGCUAAUCCCAAAAACCGGUUCUCAGUUCGGAUUGAAGUCUGCAACUCGACUCCAUGAAGUGGAAUUCGCUAGUAAUCGUGGAUCAGCAUGCC